GACGAACGCUGGCGGCGCGCCUAACACAUGCAAGUCGAACGAGAGAGGAAGAGCUUGCUUUUCCGAUCGAGUGGCGAACGGGUGAGUAACGCGUGAGGAACCUGCCUCAAAGAGGGGGACAACAGUUGGAAACGACUGCUAAUACCGCAUAAGCCCACGGCUCGGCAUCGAGCAGAGGGAGAAGGAGCAAUCCGCUUUGAGAUGGCCUCGCGUCCGAUUAGCUAGUUGGUGAGGUAACGGCCCACCAAGGCGACGAUCGGUAGCCGGACUGAGAGGUUGAACGGCCACAUUGGGACUGAGACACGGCCCAGACUCCUACGGGAGGCAGCAGUGGGGAAUAUUGCACAAUGGGGGAAACCCUGAUGCAGCGACGCCGCGUGGAGGAAGAAGGUCUUCGGAUUGUAAACUCCUGUUGUUGAGGAAGAUAAUGACGGUACUCAACAAGGAAGUGACGGCUAACUACGUGCCAGCAGCCGCCGUAA
rnacentral:rRNA from 1 species